rnacentral:rRNA from 1 species
CACGUAGUUAGCCGUGGCUUUCUGGUGAGGUACCGUCAAGGUACCAGUAGUUAGUUGGUACUUGUCCUUCCCUCACAACAGAGUUUUACGAUCCGAAAACCUUCGUCACUCACGCGGCGUUGCUCCGUCAGACUUGCGUCCAUUGCGGAAGAUUCCCUACUGCUGCCUCCCGUAGGAGUCUGGGCCGUGUCUCAGUCCCAGUGUGGCCGAUCACCCUCUCAGGUCGGCUACGCAUCGUCGCCUUGGUGGGCCAUUACCCCACCAACUAGCUAAUGCGCCGCGGGCCCAUCCUGCAGUGACAGCCGAAACCGUCUUUCCGUGGAACCUCAGGAGAGGUUCCAAACUAUUCGGUAUUAGCACCGGUUUCCCGGAGUUAUCCCGAUCUGCAGGGCAGGUUGCCCACGUGUUACUCACCCGUCCGCCGCUAAACGCUUGGAGCAAGCUCCAAGUGUUCCGCUCGACUUGCAUGUAUUAGGCACGCCGCCAGCGUUCGCGUGAGCCAGGAUCAAACUCU